GACGAAUGCUGGCGGCGUGCUUAACACAUGCAAGUCGAACGGUGAACAGGAGCUUGCUCCUGGGAUCAGCGGCGAACGGGUGAGUAACACGUGGGCAGCCUGCCACUCACUCUGGGAUAACUCCGGGAAACCGGGGCUAAUACCGGAUAUGACCUAGAGCGACAUCUCUCGAGGUGGAAAGCAUUUCGGUGAGGGGUGGGCCCGCGGCCUAUCAGCUUGUUGGUGGGGUAACGGCCGACCAAGGCGACGACGGGUAGCCGGCCUGAGAGGGCGACCGGCCGCACUGGGACUGAGACACGGCCCAGACCCCUACGGGAGGCAGCAGUGGGGAAUAUUGCGCAAUGGGCGAAAGCCUGACGCAGCGACGCCGCGUGAGGGACGACGGCCUUCGGGUUGUAAACCUCUUUCAGCAGGGACGAAGCGAAAGUGACGGUACCUGCAGAAGAAGCACCGGCUAACUACGUGCCAGCCGCCGCCGUAACAC
rnacentral:rRNA from 1 species